AGUGAACGCUGGCGGUAGGCCUAACACAUGCAAGUCGAACGGCAGGACAGUAAGAGCUUGCUCUUACGGGUGGCGAGUGGCGGACGGGUGAGGAGUACAUCGGAAUCUACAUUUUCGGGGGGGUUAACGUAGGGAAAGUUACGCUAAUACCGCAUAUGACCUACGGGUGAAAGCAGGGGAUCUUCGGACCUUGUGCGAUUGAAUGAGCCGAUGUCGGAUUAGCUAGUUGGCGGGGUAAAGGCCCACCAAGGCGACGAUCGGUAGCUGGUCUGAGAGGAUGGUGAGCCGCAUUAGAACUGAGACACGGUCAUGACUCCUGCGGGAGGCAGCAGUUGGGAAUGUUGGACAGUAGGCGCAAGUCUGACACAGCCAUACCGCGUCGGUGAAGAAGGCCUUCGGGUUGUAAAGCCCUUCUGUUGGGAAUGAAACGCAGCAGGCUAAUACGCCGCUGGUCUGACGGUACCCAAAGAAUAAGCACCGGCUAACUUCGUG
rnacentral:rRNA from 1 species